AUAUGAAACAUUUUUUGCAAAAGUUGGUCUCACAGUUGAUGGACUGCUGUGUAGAUAUAAAAUCCAAAGAGGAGGAAAGUGUUCAGGUCACCCAAAGAAAGACACAUUAUUCAAUGGAUUCACUUUCCAGUUGGUAUAUGACUGUCACACAGAAGACGGACCCAAAAAUGCUAAGCAAAAAAAGGACUACUUCUAGCCAAUGGCAGUCUCCUCCUGUUGUCGUUAUCUUGAAGGAUAUGGAAAGCUUUGCCACAAAAGUACUACAAGACUUCAUAAUUAUCAGCAGGUAGAUGGUGUAUCACCUGGCUUUUAUGAAAAACUCCCGUUUUAAGAAAAUAUUACUUUUAACUUGAAAAGUAAUAUUGAAGAUUAUUGAAAAGAUUAUUGAAAAGAUUAUUGAAAAGAUUAUUGAAAAAUAAUCUUCAUUUUAAUACCAACUGGAUAAAAAUCAAAGUAUUCAAAUUCUUUAUAAUUGAAUAUUCAAAGACUUCUUAUCAGAUUUUCCAUUUGCUUUUUGAGCCAGGAAUGAGAAUCAAAGGCACAUUUAGCCAGUUUUAAAUUGACAUGGUAAGAUAGUAUUAAAUAUGGUUUAUCUCACCAAGAUUGACUGUCUCUUACUCACCCAUUAAAUAGAUAAACUACUCC
rnacentral:sRNA from 1 species